rnacentral:snoRNA from 1 species
GCGCCCUUUUAAGGUCGAAAGAGGCUAACACAGAGAGGCAAAGCGAGUCUCCAUAAAACCCAGAGAGGAGGCUGCACGUCUCCUGUCUGCAUCCUGUCUGGAGUCACAGCU